GCUGUUUGGCUCAAUGGUAGAGCGUCCGCCUCCUAAGCGGAAGGUUGUGGGUUCGAGUGAGCUUUCCCAUGAACUGCG
rnacentral:tRNA from 1 species